AGUGAACGCUGGCGGUAGGCCUAACACAUGCAAGUCGAACGGCAGCACAGUAAGAGCUUGCUCUUACGGGUGGCGAGUGGCGGACGGGUGAGGAAUACAUCGGAAUCUACUUUUUCGUGGGGGAUAACGUAGGGAAACUUACGCUAAUACCGCAUACGACCUACGGGUGAAAGCAGGGGAUCUUCGGACCUUGCGCGAUUGAAUGAGCCGAUGUCGGAUUAGCUAGUUGGCGGGGUAAAGGCCCACCCAGGCAACGAUCCGUAGCUGGUCUGAGAGGAUGAUCAGCCACACUGGAACUGAGACACGGUCCAGACUCCUACAAGAGGCAGCAGUGGGGAAUAUUCGACAAGGGGCGCAAGCCUGAUCCAGCCAUACCGCGUGAGUGAAGAAGGCCUUCGGGUUGUAAAGCCCUUUUGUUGGGAAAGAAAAGCAGCAGGUUAAUACCCCGCUGUUCUGACGGUACCCAAAGAAUAAGCUCCGGCUAACUUCGUG
rnacentral:rRNA from 1 species